rnacentral:rRNA from 1 species
UACGUAGGGCGCAAGCGUUGUCCGGAAUUAUUGGGCGUAAAGAGCUCGUAGGCGGUCUGUCGCGUCGGAUGUGAAAGCCCGGGGCUUAACCCCGGGUCUGCAUUCGAUACGGGCAGACUAGAGUGUGGUAGGGGAGAUCGGAAUUCCUGGUGUAGCGGUGAAAUGCGUAGAUAUCGGGAGGAACACCAGUGGCGAAGGCGACUACCUGGCCUGUUCUUGACGCUGAGGCGCGAAAGCUAGGGGAGCAAACGGG